AAUACAAUGCAUUGUGGGCCUUCUCGCCUUAAGCAGUAACCAUCGCCUUUUAUUUAACCUGGUUAAUGUUUACACUCGCAUAUUGGAGGAUUUACACACUGUAAAAGUCCUUAACAUUAUAAUACACACAAGUAUUUGCAGUUGGCUUAAAAACACGCAGUAAAUCUAACGUUUGUUAAUAACUGUUACUUACUACCGCCAGUAAAUGCAUCGUUUUUACUUGUCUCUACCUUAAUAGUCAGUCAAGGGCAAAAUCAAGUUUAAGCAAUUUGAUUGGCUGUGAUUGACUGGGGCGAGAACGGUACUGGAGGUGUACGUACCCGCUGCUACCUACUGGCAGUCAGCCGGUGGCCGUUCAUGGACGAAAUUGGAUGUAUACUGCUGGACUGUUAUUUUAUAGCUAACCAGUUGGAGCUACGAACUUUUUCCUGGACGUUUUGCCUGUUUUUUGGAGCCACAGAACCAGACCACGCUCAACGUUUUGCUUGGAUUUUGGAGCUGCAGACCACGCUCGUGAACCGGAAAGGACUGUUAAACCGGAGUUGGAGCCGUUUUAUUGCCGUUCGUCCAAAACUGGUAAACCAUGGUGGGGUGAGUAACCCUUUCCUCGUGGUGGUUCUGGAGCCGCCAUCUUUGGAACUGCUAUCCCGAGGACCAAUGCUAACUGAGUCCCUUCAGGCCUGCAACGUUUGUAAAGCUAACAGACUGCUUUACUAAUUCAAGAGACUGAAUAGUGUGGUUGGUGCAUUCAGUUUGCCAGCCUUGUUUGCUUAUUUUUUAUGUAUAUAAUCUGUUUAAAGGGUUGUUUUGUACAAUUCUGAUACAGCGCGGUUGCACUAAGUGUGCCAAAUACCCUCUUACUGAUUUAUUGUGGUUGUAAUGUGCUGAAAGUUAACUGUGCUCUGUUAAUGUGCAUUGCCCUUGGUUUAUUACUGACCAGUACGGUUGACUAAACUGGUAAAUCUUCAACUUUACCAUUUUUCCUUCCUUAUUUUAGUAUAAGGUUAAGGUUGCACUGCAUUUAGAUCUUACUUGUAGUUAUCUUAGCCUUGCUAUUAUGCUCAGUUAUGUACUCUAUUUACAACACAUGCUGUUGCCAAUUAAGAUACUCAUUUCUCAGUGUGAAGUAUUUGAUAGAGUGUAGGUCAGAGAAUCUGGGCGCUGUUCAUAAGGGAAACGUGAACAGUGGUUACAUAUAACAUAGCAAUAAGAUAAGUAUACUUGAGGAGCCCAAGUAUGCUUUUGAAGUUCUGCAGAAAAUUGUUCUGGAAUUGGACGGAAACAAACUAUCCUACAAAGCACAAGUUCUCAAAACACAACUCUCCCGCUGAGAAACUUGCUACAUGGCUUUCCAAACUUGAGGAAAGCUUCAUAAGACCAAUCAGUCCUUAAAGACUGCAGUCGAAAACAAGAUUUAAAUUGUUACAAUUCUCAAAAUUGAAGAGCAAAUUUACUGAUACUUUUUUAAAAUUUUGUUAGGAAUUUGAUUUCUGUGACCAACACAGCCCAGUUUUGGCUGGAAUAACAAAACGUUAAAAGUUUAAAAAUUAAGUUGAACUAACACAUUUGCUUUAAAUUGGAGUAACAUAAUUACAUAAUGCUGUAAUAAAGCAAAGUAAUCAGGUGGAAAUCUUUUCCAUUAUUUUUUUUUUAUUUUAAUCCAAAGAGUUAUUUUUUUGAGUUUACAGUCGUAACAGAUGCAUGGGCAAGGCCUUCUUCUUCUUCUUUAGAUUUUAAUGGCAGCUUGUAUCCAUUACUGUUGCACUAUUGCCAUGUGUUGGAUCCUAAUAUUUAUUCCUCAAAUUCUCCUAAUGAGCCCGGUAUUUUAAAAAAAAAAACUAAAUAUCUUCCCUUUUCCAUUACGAUUUAACUGAGCAACCAAAUUCUCAAAUGUCAAUUCCCUAUUAAAACCUAUUUCCAUAUUCGGUAAUCUUCUUUGAUUCAUUUAUUUCCUCCAACUAAUAAAAACAUGUUCCGUCGUUUCUACAGUAUUGCACUAAUUACAUAAACCAGUAAGAUGUUUCCCCGUCUUCUAAAGAGUGGCUAUGGGUGGGGCUGGCACAGCAUUUCCUGUUUAAAUUGAUUUAUAAAGUCACUGAUCGCAUCACUGGAUACAACCAAAAUGGAGGGUUUUCUUUUGCCUAAUGAAGUUCCUGCACAACACCAAGUCCAGUCAAAUCGAAAGUAGUGAGAGCUGAUCCGCAGCUCAAAUCAGAUCUUGAAUUUUCUGCUCCAGUUCUGACCAGUAUUGAUACUUUGACAGGCACGAUAGAGAAGAAAUGCAUCUAAAAGUUGCAUGACACCAGCUGUCGAGGAUUGGACUUGAACACCCACGAUGGAUGAGCUGUGCCGCCAACCAGCAGCAGGAUUUUUCUAACAAGAGCUGGAAAUCAUUUCCAAUUGGAAAAGCAAUAAGUUGAGGUGUGUCCCUUCCCUCCCUCCCUGCAAGGUUGAUAUUGCAAAUAAGAAUUUACUCUGAACAGCUCACAUGGCUAAAUAUAAAAGUACAUUUCAUUUUAAUCGGUGUAAUUUCCUUUCAAAGCAAAAUGACAAAUUAGACGCAACACUGACAUCAGUCCGGCACCGCUUGCUGCUUUCCCGCACUGUCGUCAUGGUUUCUAAAAGCUCACAGCCGCGUUGGAUAGUCUCCACUUGUGAUUUAUAAAUGGUACAAGGCAGCUAAUGAAGAGCCAUUUAAGUUACAAGUUUAUCUUUUUUUCCCUGCAACCUGGUUUCAAUCCACACCACAGUCUUAAGAUUUCGAUCACGAGCCUCGGCCCUCUGAUGUAUCAUAAUAUCUCCGUUUAGGGUUUGCAUCUGGAAUUAGGGCGGGCGGCGAUGAUAUCCCUUUUAAUUGGUUUUCACCUCAACAAGUCAAGCUUCGCCUCACUGCGCAUGUGGACCAACUGCAGCUGCUGACAGUGAGACAUAUUCGUCCUGACGGAGAGGCGCGCCUCUCCGCUAAUGCAUAUUUAAUUUUGUGUGCCACAGCUAUACGCUGGAAUAUUUCAAUUACUUGCGUUAGACUUUUCCUGCGAGGAACAGCCCUCCGUUUAAUUUGAUUGUGUAUAAUUACUGUAAAAAUGAAUUUUAAUUGUUAUGGCCCGUCUUUAAAAUAGAUUGGUACUUAUAUCCUUGCUACCAGUGAAGGUGUCUUCUUUUAUACCAGGGAUUAAAAAAAAAGAGAGACUCCAAUCAGAGUAUAUUUGGCUAAAUUAAGAGAAUGAAGUCAGACUUGGUAACCGUGUGAGAGCAGGUCAUGAAGACACAGAGAGAUCUUAUUAACCCAUUUUUACAGAGGAAGAGCCAAACCUUGGAAAACUCAUCACAGAGGGGGCGCCGCUUGCGUUGAGGCAAUUUGAAUGUGAAAACAAGACCGCUAACCUUUUUUGUUACGUCGGCAUCAGGCGGCGCUUCCAGAUAAAUCCUAACGAGCUACAUUGUUCCUCCAUCCAGACUUUGUUACGGGGAUAUUAUUGGGCGUCACAGUAGCCGUAUUAUCUGCCACGUUUUUUACAGCUGGGUGCCUGUUCUUGCUCUCAAAGAACACCGGCACCUGGGUUUUUUGUUGUUCACCGUGAACCCCCCCUCCCAAAAAAAAAAAA